rnacentral:rRNA from 1 species
CAGCAGCCGCGGGAAUACGAAGGGGGCUAGCGUUGUUCGGAAUAACUGGGCGUAAAGGGCGCGUAGGCGGAUCUUUAAGUCAGGGGUGAAAUCCCAAGGCUCAACCUUGGAACUGCCUUUGAUACUGGAGAUCUUGAGUCCGGGAGAGGUGAGUGGAACUGCGAGUGUAGAGGUGAAAUUCGUAGAUAUUCGCAAGAACACCAGUGGCGAAGGCGGCUCACUGGCCCGGUACUGACGCUGAGGCGCGAAAGCGUGGGGAGCAAACAGGAUUAGAUACCCCGGUAGUCCCUGUCUCUUAUAC